rnacentral:rRNA from 1 species
GACGUAGGGGGCCAGCGUUGUUCGGAAUUACUGGGUGUAAAGGGUCAGUAGGCGGUGUGGCAAGUCGGGAGUGAAAUCUCUGGGCUUAACCCAGAGGCUGCUUCCGAAACUGCCGUGCUUGAGUGUGAGAGAGGCGCGUGGAAUUGCAGGUGUAGCGGUGAAAUGCGUAGAUAUCUGCAGGAGCACCCGUGGCGAAAGCGGCGCGCUGGAUCAUGACUGACGCUGAAUGACGAAAGCUAGGGGAGCAAACAGGAUUAGAUACCCUGGUAGUCCUAGCCCUAAACGAUCAGGACUUGGGGUGGCUCACGUUCGUGAGUCGUCCCGGAGCUAACGCGUUAAGUCCUGCACCUGGGGAGUACGGUCGCAAGACUGAAACUCAAAG